rnacentral:rRNA from 1 species
GAUGAACGCUGGCGGCGUGCCUAAUACAUGCAAGUCGAGCGAACAGACGAGGAGCUUGCUCCUCUGACGUUAGCGGCGGACGGGUGAGUAACACGUGGAUAACCUACCUAUAAGACUGGGAUAACUUCGGGAAGCCGGAGCUAAUACCGGAUAAUAUAUUGAACCGCAUGGUUCAAUAGUGAAAGACGGUUUUGCUGUCACUUAUAGAUGGAUCCGCGCCGCAUUAGCUAGUUGGUAAGGUAACGGCUUACCAAGGCGACGAUGCGUAGCCGACCUGAGAGGGUGAUCGGCCACACUGGAACUGAGACACGGUCCAGACUCCUACGGGAGGCAGCAGUAGGGAAUCUUCCGCAAUGGGCGCAAGCCUGACGGAGCAACGCCGCGUGAGUGAUGAAGGUCUUCGGAUCGUAAAACUCUGUUAUUAGGGAAGAACAAAUGUGUAAGUAACUAUGCACGUCUUGACGGUACCUAAUCAGAAAGCCACGGCUAACUACGUG